rnacentral:rRNA from 1 species
CAGCAGCCACGGGAACACGAAGGGGGCUAGCGUUGUUCGGAAUUACUGGGCGUAAAGCGCACGUAGGCGGAUAUUUAAGUCAGGGGUGAAAUCCCAGAGCUCAACUCUGGAACUGCCUUUGAUACUGGGUAUCUUGAGUAUGGAAGAGGUGAGUGGAAUUCCGAGUGUAGAGGUGAAAUUCGUAGAUAUUCGGAGGAACACCAGUGGCGAAGGCGGCUCACUGGUCCAUUACUGACGCUGAGGUGCGAAAGCGUGGGGAGCAAACAGGAUUAGAUACCCCUGUAGUCCCUGUCUCUUAUAC